rnacentral:rRNA from 1 species
GAUGAACGCUGGCGGCGUGCUUAAUACAUGCAAGUCGAACGAGGAAUUGUGAUUGAAGUUUUCGGAUGGAUUUCACUUUUCCGAGUGGCGGACGGGUGAGUAACGCGUGGGUAACCUGCCUUAUACCGGGGGACAACAGUUGGAAACGGCUGCUAAUACCGCAUAAGCGCACAGUAUCGCAUGAUACAGUGUGAAAAACUCCGGUGGUAUAAGAUGGACCCGCGUCUGAUUAGCCAGUUGGCGGUGUAACGGACCACCAAAGCGACGAUCAGUAGCCGGCCUGAGAGGGCAAACGGCCACAUUGGGACUGAGACACGGCCCAAACUCC